AUUGAACGCUGGCGGCAUGCCUUACACAUGCAAGUCGAACGGUAACGCGGGGCAACCUGGCGACGAGUGGCGAACGGGUGAGUAAUGUAUCGGAACGUGCCCAGUUGUGGGGGAUAACUGCUCGAAAGAGCAGCUAAUACCGCAUACGACCUGAGGGUGAAAGCGGGGGAUCGCAAGACCUCGCGCAAUUGGAGCGGCCGAUAUCAGAUUAGGUAGUUGGUGGGGUAAAGGCCCACCAAGCCAACGAUCUGUAGCUGGUCUGAGAGGACGACCAGCCACACUGGGACUGAGCCACGGCCCAGACUCCUACGGGAGGCAGCAGUGGGGAAUGUUGGACAAUGGGCGCAAGCCUGAUUCAGCCAUGCCGCGUGCGGGAAGAAGGCCUUCGGGUUGUAAACCGCUUUUGUCAGGGAAGAAACGCUCUGGGUUAAUACCUCGGGGUAAUGACGGUACCUGAAGAAUAAGCACCGGCUAACUACGUGCCAGCCGCCGCCGUAAUAC
rnacentral:rRNA from 1 species